CUGAGGGCUGUCGGAGGAGGUUGAGAUCCAAUGACGAGCAAGGGCCGAAGGAGACGUGUCAUUUCCUGUAGCUCUUUGCUCAGCUGAGAGACUUGCUGGGAUAGACUAGUCAUCUGUGAAUGAGAUCAACAGAAUUUUGGUGAUGCUCUGCUUGGUCUCCAGCUGCUCCUGGUUCACUGCACACAAAUGCACACAAAACGAGACCACGUCGUCUGAAAGCACUCCAGCAUGCGCUGCGCGAGGGCCUUGGGAAGUCGAUGCACGCGGAUGAAGUCUUUGAGGUCUUUGGUACGAGUGUGAUAGAGCGAGCGGCGCGAGUACAUCCUCUGGAUAAUGGCCGUCACAUUACCGAAGACCGCGGCGUGCAUGAGUGCUGGAGAAAGACACAACAAACAAACAUUUCAGGUGUCCAGACAGCUGGUAAAGCACAGCUCUGCUGCGGCGCCGGUUGGCAUUGAAGCCCGGUGGCCGUGUGACCUUGUGCACCUCCAACCCCGUCUCCUCGUCUGAGCAGAGAACAGCCAUAUAUCAUUUUAGUUUUAG